GCAGUGUAGCUCAGUUGGUAGAGGGUUUGCCUAGCAAGCAAGAGGCCUUGAGUUUGAUUCCCCUGCACUGCA
rfam:Mesocricetus auratus contig064225, whole genome shotgun sequence.